rnacentral:lncRNA from 1 species
CAUUCAUAUAAACCAUAUAAACUCACCUGAUACUCACCUGUGCGUCCACGGCACCAAUUCACACAUAUAUAUGCAUCAAUUAUCAAUUCAUAACUCAUAAUAUGCAUGCAUGGCAUUUUAGAAAUAUAAUUUCAUAUAAACGCAUUUUCUGGGAAAACAGUAGUAUAUAGGUAAUACGAAAACAAAACUGCCCACUCACUGAUAAGUCGAUGGGUCGUAACCCCCGUGACGUCCCUGGAUGCGCUCGUCCUCAGGAUAGGUGUCACCUAUAUGCGAAACAAUUAUAAAAACGUUAAUUUAAACACAUAACCAACAAUUCGAAAUAACUUCUCAUACGAUGCUCAAUUUGGGUAU